UGGCUCAGUGGUAGAGCGCUUGCCUUUCAUGCAUGAGGCCCUGGGGUUCGAUUCCUCA
rnacentral:tRNA from 1 species